UGCAGCGAAGCCGGAGGAGGAACAGAAGGGUCUCCUUCUGUUCCUUCUCCAGCUUCGCUGAAGGGCGCUACGCCUUCUCCCUCUCUGCACAGCGCCUCUCCUUCACAGGAGAGGCGCUGCGCGGAGAGAGAGAAGGCACAGCGCCCCUUCAGCAACGCGCCUGUCAUGCGAAGCCGGAGGAGGAGCAGAAGGGUCUCCUUCUGCUCCUUCUCCCGCUUCGCAGUGA
rnacentral:miRNA from 1 species